CCUACGGGAGGCAGCAGUGGGGAAUAUUGGACAAUGGGCGAAAGCCUGAUCCAGCAAUGCCGCGUGAGUGAUGAAGGCCUUAGGGUCGUAAAGCUCUUUUACUAGGGAUGAUAAUGACAGUACCUAGAGAAUAAGCUCCGGCUAACUCCGUGCCAGCAGCCGCGGUAAU
rnacentral:rRNA from 1 species